UACGUAGGGCGCAAGCGUUGUCCGGAAUUAUUGGGCGUAAAAAGCUCGUAGGCGGCUUGUCACGUCGGGUGUGAAAGCCCGGGGCUUAACCCCGGGUCUGCAUUCGAUACGGGCUAGCUAGAGUGUGGUAGGGGAGAUCGGAAUUCCUGGUGUAGCGGUGAAAUGCGCAGAUAUCAGGAGGAACACCGGUGGCGAAGGCGGAUCUCUGGGCCAUUACUGACGCUGAGAAGCGAAAGCAUGGGGAGCGAACAGG
rnacentral:rRNA from 1 species